rnacentral:misc_RNA from 1 species
GAACCGUAGGUGAACCUGCGGUUGGAUCAUUAUUGAAUAGUAUGUGUGUGCGUGUACUUUAUUGUACAUGCAUAAUUACACACACAACCCCCCCUCGAGCACUGUUUGUACUGUACCAAAACACAGCAGUGAGUGUGAUGCAAUCAUUGUAUUGCAUUGCAUUCGCUGCGGACCACACCAUGCAUAUUAAAUUAUUACAUGUGUCUCCAAGAACGUAUUCCUAUGUGAAUGCUGUUGUAUAAUAAAUAAAAAACAACUUUUGACAAUGGAUCUCUUGGCUCUU